GUUUGGGAGCCUCGCAGGAUGCUUUUCUGAGGCAUGGAGCGGCAGUGACAGGAACCUCUGGACCACGAGAGGAUCUUCUGCGAUCACGAUGACCAUCACAUGGAGCUCUUCCUCAAAGUCGGCUGUGACAGGGCAUUUUUGGGACUGUACCUAAGCAAGUAACACUGCCUGAGACCAGGUGUGGCCAACAUCAGAGGCCUGCAGAGUUUUGCAGAGAAACUCACCUGCCUUUAGCUUUCUAUAACCUUUAGACCUCGAUUAGCUUGUGCUUGAUUAGGGUUGGAGCUGAACUCUGCAGGACUGUGGCUCUCCAGAACCAACUUUAGCCACCCCUGCGCUAGACACUAUCAAGGCUUGCCAGCCCUGCAAGAUGCUAUUGCAUUGUGGGAAGUCCUGAACUGUGGUGGAGUUGCAGAUGAGGUGGGAGCAUUUGAGAGAAAGAGAGGAAAAGCUGAAAAAGGAAGAGGAGAAACUCAGGCAGUACAAACUGGAAACUGAAAAUGAGGCCAGAUGGUUACGUGCCAUAGAAAAAACAAAGGAAGAGGAAGCUAAAAUUAAAGAGAAGGAAGAGAAUAU
ensembl:lncRNA